CGGUCCUUUAGAUCAUCAUCCCUGAUGAGUCUCUGGGGUCCAGAGAGCAGGGACAAUAGAUCAGCAUACAUAUCUCUAAGUUCUCUCUCCUGAGGGGAGUUUUAAAAAGAAAUUCCAGGAGAUGCAGCCAUUUGUAUCUCUUAAUGAGCAAAAAAAGGACGACAAUCUCAGUUGAAAAGUUAUGUGGUUGCCUCUAUUCUUUCUGCUACCAGAAAUGCUGCAAGCUGCACUUUGAUAUAAUAAAGUCAUGGGAGGGACUUCAAAAUAUAUGCAUACUUUUUCAAGCAGUUUUCUUGUUGAAAUGAAUACUGCUGACAAGAAGAAAACAGAAGCCUUUGAGAUGUGGUGCUGGCAAAUAUUUAUGUAUUUCCUGGCUAGAAAUGACAAUGAAUGCUUAUGUUAGAAAUGCUAUUGGAGGGAAGCAGACCCUGCUAUCUGAAAUCAACAGGUGAAGACGUGUACUUUGGUUACAUCUAUCGUAGAGAUGGAAAUAAGAAAGUUAUCCUGGAAGGAAGGUGGCAGGUCAUUGUAGCAGAGGAUGACCAGCGAGGAGACGGAUAGAUGCUGUGUGGUGGAUGGCUGGGAGGUCAGCUGUUGAGUGCUCCAAGUGAGCAAUGGAUUGAGAAGGCUUCUGAAAAUUCUGCUAUGAUGUCACCAAUAUUCAGACAUGAAUAAAUGAAUUUUACUUA